ACGGGUGAGUAACACGUGGGCAACCUGCCCUUGAGACUGGGAUAACUUCGGGAAACCGGAGCUAAUACCGGAUAAUAUAAGGAACCUCCUGGUUCCUUAUUGAAAGAUGGUUUCGGCUAUCACUUAAGGAUGGGCCCGCGGCGCAUUAGCUAGUUGGUGAGGUAACGGCUCACCAAGGCGACGAUGCGUAGCCGACCUGAGAGGGUGAUCGGCCACACUGGGACUGAGACACGGCCCAGACUCCUACGGGAGGCAGCAGUAGGGAAUCUUCCACAAUGGACGAAAGUCUGAUGGAGCAACGCCGCGUGAGUGAUGAAGGCCUUCGGGUCGUAAAGCUCUGUUGUUAGGGAAGAACAAGUGCGAGAGUAACUGCUCGCACCUUGACGGUACCUAACCAGAAAGCCACGGCUAACUACGUGCCAGCAGCCGCGGUAAUACGUAGGUGGCAAGCGUUAUCCGGAAUUAUUGGGCGUAAAGCGCGCGCAGGUGGUUUCUUAAGUCUGAUGUGAAAGCCCACGGCUCAACCGUGGAGGGUCAUUGGAAACUGGGGAACUUGAGUGCAGAAGAGGAAAGUGGAAUUCCA
rnacentral:rRNA from 1 species